rnacentral:rRNA from 1 species
UACAGAGGUCUCAAGCGUUGUUCGGAAUUAUUGGGCGUAAAGCGCGUGUAGGCGGCUUAGCAAGUCGGGUGUGAAAGCCCUCAGCUCAACUGAGGAAGUGCGCCCGAAACUGCUGAGCUUGAGUACCGGAGAGGAUGGUGGAAUUCCCGAAGUAGAGGUGAAAUUCGUAGAUAUCGGGAGGAACACCGGUGGCGAAGGCGACCAUCUGGACGGAUACUGACGCUGAGACGCGAAAGCGUGGGUAGCAAACAGG